UUCCCCAAACCACAGGGUUAAAAGCAGCUCUUAUAUGGCUACUGUGCUUGUCCCCGGGUCCAGGGAUCUCCAGCGAUGUAAUCGAAAAGGCCCGCAACUUCAAGAUCGUCACGGAGGUGCAGCAGGAUGGGCAGGACUUCACUUGGUCCCAGCACUACUCCGGGGGCCACACCAUGACCAACAAGUUCACUGUUGGCAAGGAAAGCAACAUACAGACAAUGGGGGGCAAGACAUUCAAGGCCACCGUGCAGAUGGAGGGCGGGAAGCUGGUGGUGAAUUUCCCCAACUAUCACCAGACCUCAGAGAUCGUGGGUGACAAGCUGGUGGAGGUCUCCACCAUCGGAGGCGUGACCUAUGAGCGCGUGAGCAAGAGACUGGCCUAAGCAGCCAGGCCCGGCCCAGGGAGCUACAAACCCGCCAAUAAAACUGACAUAAGGACA
rnacentral:sRNA from 1 species